rnacentral:rRNA from 1 species
AGAGUUUGAUCCUGGCUCAGAAUGAACGCUGGCGGCGUGCCUUACACAUGCAAGUCGAGCGAGGCCGGGUAGCAAUACCCGAGUCGAGCGGCAGACGGGUGAGUAACACGUGGGUGACCUACCUCGAGGUGGGGGAUAACCCGGAGAAAUUCGGGCUAAUACCGCAUAACAUCGAAAGAUCAAAGAGGGGCGCAAGCCUCUCGCCGUGAGAGGGGCCCGCGCCUGAUUAGCUAGUUGGUGAGGUAACGGCUCACCAAGGCGACGAUCAGUAGCCGGCCUGAGAGGGCGAUCGGCCACACUGGAACUGAGACACGGUCCAGACUCCUACGGGAGGCAGCAGUGGGGAAUUUUGGACAAUGGGGGCAACCCUGAUCCAGCCAUGCCGCGUGUGUGAAGAAGGCCUUCGGGUUGUAAAGCACUUUCGGACGGAACGAAAUCGCGCGAUCUAAUAAGUCGCGUGGAUGACGGUACCGUAAGAAGAAGCACCGGCUAACUACGUGCCAGCAGCCGCGGUAAUACGUAGGGUGCGAGCGUUAAUCGGAAUUACUGGGCGUAAAGUGUGCGCAGGCGGCAGAGCAAGUCGAGUGUGAAAGCCCCGAGCUUAACUUGGGAAUUGCGCUCGAAACUACUUUGCUGGAGUGUGGCAGAGGAAGGUGGAAUUCCACGUGUAGCGGUGAAAUGCGUAGAGAUGUGGAGGAACACCGAUGGCGAAGGCAGCCUUCUGGGCCAACACUGACGCUCAUGCACGAAAGCGUGGGGGAGCAAACAGGAUUAGAUACCAUGGUAGUCCACGCCCUAAA